CUAACUCCGGGCCAGGAGCCGCGUUCAGACGGAGGAUGCGGUGGUGAUCCUGAAUUACUGGGCGUAAAGAGUUGCGUAGGGGGCAUUGUGUGUCGGUAGUGAAAGCGUGUGGCUCAACAAUAUAUCCAGUAUCGAAACUGCAAGGCUAGAGGACGAGAGAGGUUAUUGGAAUUCCCAGUGUAGGAGUGAAAUCCGUAGAUAUUGGGAGGAACACCGAUGGCGUAGGCAGAUAACUGGCUCGUUCCUGACACUAAGGCACGAAAGCGUGGGGAGCAAACGGGAUUAGAUACCCCGGUAGUC
rnacentral:rRNA from 1 species